rnacentral:rRNA from 1 species
AUUGAACGCUGGCGGCAGGCCUAACACAUGCAAGUCGAGCGGGGUUUUCGGACCUAGCGGCGGACGGGUGAGUAAUGCGUAGGAAGCUACCCGAUAGAGGGGGAUACCAGUUGGAAACGACUGUUAAUACCGCAUAAUGUCUACGGACCAAAGUGUGGGACCUUCGGGCCACAUGCUAUCGGAUGCGCCUACGUGGGAUUAGCUAGUUGGUGAGGUAAUGGCUCACCAAGGCGACGAUCCCUAGCUGGUUUGAGAGGAUGAUCAGCCACACUGGAACUGAGACACGGUCCAGACUCCUACGGGAGGCAGCAGUGGGGAAUAUUGGACAAUGGGCGGAAGCCUGAUCCAGCCAUGCCGCGUGUGUGAAGAAGGCCUUUUGGUUGUAAAGCACUUUAAGCGAGGAGGAGGCGCUCUAGGUUAAUACCCUAGAUGCGUGGACGUUACUCGCAGAAUAAGCACCGGCUAACUCUGUGCCAGCAGCCGCCGUAAUAC